rnacentral:rRNA from 1 species
GACGAACGCUGGCGGCGUGCUUAACACAUGCAAGUCGAACGGAAAGGCCCUGCUUUUGUGGGGUGCUCGAGUGGCGAACGGGUGAGUAACACGUGAGUAACCUGCCCUUGACUUUGGGAUAACUUCAGGAAACUGGGGCUAAUACCGGAUAGGAGCUCCUGCUGCAUGGUGGGGGUUGGAAAGUUUCGGCGGUUGGGGAUGGACUCGCGGCUUAUCAGCUUGUUGGUGGGUAGUGGCUUACCAAGGCUUUGACGGGUAGCCGGCCUGAGAGGGUGACCGGCCACAUUGGAACUGAGAUACGGCCCAGACUCCUACGGGAGGCAGCAGUGGGGAAUAUUGCACAAUGGGCGGAAGCCUGAUGCAGCAACGCCGCGUGCGGGAUGACGGCCUUCGGGUUGUAAACCGCUUUCGCCUGUGACGAAGCGUGAGUGACGGUAAUGGGUAAAGAAGCACCGGCUAACUACGUG